GAGCCUCAAACCACCGUCCAUGUUACAUAGUUACAAUCACUACAAUAACAAGAAGAACCCCACUCCACACACUAUUCUAAGGUGGACUACUUGCGCCUCACCCACCCUAACAACAUCUCGAACAAGGUAUCGAGUUCCCCUCUUAACAGUUGCGCCUACUGCCACGCCCUGCCCUCAACCACUAUCCUCGAGAUCACCACAUCCAAUAAUGUGGAGGUGACAUCGAAGACCACCGCAUUCCUGUGCUUCCACAACUCCCAAAACACAAGAGUGAAGAUUGGCCGCGGCUCCUUGGGUUUCCUAGCAUCUUCCCUUCUCGACACACACCAUCCCUUCAAUGUAUCUUGUGUCGUGGGCGUCUAUUCCUGCUUGCCCACGGCCGUGCAAAGCACUCCCCAUACCGUUCUGGCAAACACACAUGUAAGAAAUAUGUGCUCAAUAGUCUCCACUUCCUGAUCUCAGAAAGGGCAUGUGUCUUGAUGAGGGAGUCCGCGCCAAAGCGAGGCGAUCCGAAGUCCAACACCUAUUCCUCAACGCCAGCCAGGUGAAGAAAUAACAUUGCAAUGGGGCUCUAGAUUUCCACGUGAAAUCAGUUAUUGGCGCCACCUCCCUUCCGGUGAACUUUGUUGCGUAUGCCGAGCGGACCAAAAUUUUUCCACCCACUUUCCAAGACCAUGCGAUGGAAUCCACGGUAUCUUCCAACUGAACCUGCCGCAACCUUUGCCACAAGUCUAAAUACUCCAAGAGCGCGUCGAAAGCCAUGUUAGGUGUAACAUCUUGUACCUAGCUGCCUAGAGUGACUGCAUAGUGAGGCCCUGUUUGUUUACAAAGUCAUAUGACUUUUUUAGUCCAAACUAAAAAGUCCCUAGUCCCUACCUGUUUGGUUUCAGGGACUAAACAUGGACUAGAGCUUAUUAAAUGACAUGCUAAAAAACCAUGUUACCUCUAUUAAUGGACUAGAGGUUAUUAAAUGACAUACUAAAAGCAGGGGCACUGUUGGAAAAAGUCUCAAAAAGACUCUCCCUUAGAGCAUCUCCAACAGCCUUUGUAUAUUUGCACUCACUUGUUAUUUUACAAAUCUUGGCCAAGAAACCUUCUCCAAUAGCCUUUGUAUAAGUGGUCCCUCACCAAUUUUUUUUACAAAGCCUGCUAUAUUUGCACCCACACUUUGCAUAUUUGCCAAGCCAAAGACCACUUUGUAAAUUUUUAGCAAGCCUCCUAAUGCCUUACUUUGUCUCCAUGACAGGUGGGUCCGUGUACUAGUAUGUGUGAUGCAUGUGUACAUGUGUGUACGGUGUGUGUGCUGCAUGUUUACGUAUGUGUGCUGCAUGUGUAUGUGUUUUUUGUGUACAUGUACGUGUGUGUGCUGCAUGUGUACGUGUUUUUUGUGUACGUGUACGUGUGUGUUGCAUCUGUACGUGUGUGUUGCAUGUGUAAGUGUACGUGUGUGUGCAUGUGUACGUGGACGUGAGUUGUGAUAGUAUACAUAUACAUGUACGUAUGCUAGUGUGCAAUGUGUCUAUGACAAACUGCCCCCACAUAUCAUUGUAUGUUUUGUGCAAAUAUAGCAAUCCAAUAUACAAAGGCUACCGAAG
rnacentral:lncRNA from 1 species